GUGCUGGUUUCUGCAGCACAUAUACUAAACUUGAGCAACACAGAGAAGAUUAGUGUGCCCUCUACGUAAGGAUGACACACAAAUUUGUGAGGCAUUCCAUAUUUUU
ensembl:snRNA Gm24356 predicted gene, 24356